AUUUCGUCUUGCGAAGAAGACAUCCACUUCCCAAAUCUAAAUUAUCGUAUAUGGUUAAAUAAUGAAAAGAUCUGCACUGAAUUAUCAAUUUUAAAAAAAUAGCAUUGAUGAGAAGAUGAACAAAACCUCAAAUUUUAAGACGUUCUCAUACUAUAAAGUUUGAGCAAGCAAUGCAGCAAAUAGAGAUGCAGCCAGAUCCAAUAACAUUAAAAUAGACGUCCUAGUAGGAUUAGCAACUUCUUAAAGAAAUGAGCGAUAUAAAAAAAAUAAAAACUUGUACGAGAGGGACGACAAAUUAAAUGAUAGCACUCCUCAAUCAAUGUUUGUAUGAACUUACAUGUAUGAGAAGAACCUGAUUUACUUGAUAAACACAAAGAAAAAUUGAUUCAAAAUUAAACUUGUAAUAGGCCGAACUAGGGGGAAGGAGUGUCUUGAAGAGAAGGAAAAGACUGUGAUGCUGGAGACGCCCUCUGGGGGAUAAUAGGAUGAGCAACUCGCAAAGACGUUGGUGAUGGAUGCAAGCUCGAUUUGUUUGUAGAAUUCGAGACAUGACGGGUUGAUGGAUCGCUACGGUACCGGAAAUGAGAUGCAGCACUAUACAUUUGAGAAGGAGGAGUAGAAUGUGUAUGAAUUUUUGAAUGAAAUCGGGAAUCAUCAGAAAAGAGAGUUGUUCUAACAUUAUGAUGAGAAAGUUCAUUUGAUUGAAGAUCAACUGAUGGAAAGGGGUCAUUUAAAUGCAGAGAAGGCCUACCAUAACUAUCAGAGGCCAUACGUUGUGGUGAAGAAUCAACAGAACUGGUAUAAUUCAAUGGUGGUGUAUGACGGACAAGAUCUAAAGAGUUUGAGCUUUCCUGUUGACUCAAAAUAGAUGCAUCGAUCGCUUCUUGCACCAAGCCAAGACACAAUUCGGCAAGGCUUCGGCAUAACGCAUCCACCACACUCGAUGGAGAGGUGUUUACCAAGGUGAUUGCAUGGUUUACAGCUUGCUCUACGGGCUUUAAAAUGAUGGGCGAAGGAUGAUAAGUGCGAAGCCGCAUAAGAGCCGUUUGCAUCGUGCUUAGCGGCGCCGGUGAGUGAGGUGAAUGAGUAGAGGGUAAAAGAGAAGGGUAACUGUUAGGAGAACGAUAUGGACUAAGAUUGUUAUGAUAGCCUAAGUAGGAAGAGGGUC